rnacentral:rRNA from 1 species
GUUAAAAAGCUCGUAGUUGAACUUAGUAGACGGCUUACGGUCCUGACUAAGGUUGGCCACCCGUUUGCAAGACUGCUCUCGGCCUUACACUGGUUACGGAGUAGUGAGCUGACAUUUUACUUUGAAAAAAUUAGAGUGUUUCAGGCAGGCUUUUGCCCGAAUACAUUAGCAUGGAAUAAUGAAAUCGGACUUUGAUCCAUUUGGUUGGUUAUUGGAUCUGAGUAAUGGUUAAUAGGGACAGUUGGGGGCAUUAGUAUUUAAUUGUCAGAGGUGAAAUUCUUGGAUUUAUUAAAGACUAACUUAUGCGAAAGCAUUUGCCAAGGAUGUUUUCAUUAAUCAAGAACGAAAGUUAGGGUAUCCAAGACGAUCAGAUACCGUCCUAGUCUUAAACUAUAAACUAUACCGACUCGGAAUUGGUAGGGUGUUGUAGCUCUAUCAGGACCGUAGGAGAACUCAAAGCUAUUUGGGUUCUGGGGGGAGUAUGGU